rnacentral:rRNA from 1 species
AUUGAACGCUGGCGGCAGGCUUAACACAUGCAAGUCGAACGAGCGGCGGACGGGUGAGUAAUGUCUGGGAAACUGCCUGAUGGAGGGGGAUAACUACUGGAAACGGUAGCUAAUACCGCAUACCAUCAGAUGUGCCCAGAUGGGCUUAGCUAGUAGGUGGGGUAAUGGCUCACCUAGGCGACGAUCCCUAGCUGUUCUGAGCGGAGGACCAGCCACACUGGAACGGAGACACGGUCCAGACUCAUACGUGAGGCAGCAGUGGGGAAUAUUGCACAAUGGGCGCAAGCCUGAUUCAGCCAUGCAGCGUGUGUGAAGAAGGCCUUCGGGUUGUAAAGCACUUUCAGCGAGGAGGCGUUACUCGCAGAAGAAGCACCGGCUAACUCCGUGCCAGCCGCCGCGGUAAUAC